rnacentral:rRNA from 1 species
GAACGGGGUACUGUAAGCGGUAGAGUAGCCUUGUUGCUACGAUCCGCUGAGGUUAAGCCCUUGUUCUAGAGAUUUGU